AGAUAGAAAACCACCUGGUAUCGGUGGACGAGGAAGGGGAAGAGGAGGUAGGGAUGAAGGUGCUGUUGGAAGACAGGCGAAAGACAUUGGGCGUGGAAUGGAAGAUGCAGGUGCCAAAGGCCGGGGCAAAGGAUGACCUGGUGCCAAGUCUGGUGGAAAAGGUGGUGGCCGUGGACGUGGCUAAUCAUCGUCAUUUAGAGACAAAGAAGCCAGAUGACAAUCUAGAUAUAUUGUAUCUAAUUUUGUUUCUACUUUCAAAUUAUAAAGCAACUUACCGGAGAAAAGGCCUGCUUCCAGUUGUUAUUACUUUAAGAUGAAUGUAUGUAGGCUUGAAAUGCUCACUCUCUUUCCUUUCUGAUGACAUGUAAGAGUUCGUGUCUUGAAAAUA